CGGGAGGCAGCAGUGGGGAAUAUUGGACAAUGGGCGGAAGCCUGAUCCAGCCAUGCCGCGUGUGUGAAGAAGGCCUUUUGGUUGUAAAGCACUUUAAGCGAGGAGGAGGCUCUCCUAGUUAAUACCUAGGAAGAGUGGACGUUACUCGCAGAAUAAGCACCGGCUAACUCUGUGCCAGCAGCCGCGGUAAUACAGAGGGUGCGAGCGUUAAUCGGAUUUACUGGGCGUAAAGCGUGCGUAGGCGGCUGAUUAAGUCGGAUGUGAAAUCCCUGAGCUUAACUUGGAAUUGCAUUCGAUACUGGUCAGCUAGAGUAUGGGAGAGGAUGGUAGAAUUCCAGGUGUAGCGGUGAAAUGCGUAGAGAUCUGGAGGAAUACCGAUGGGCGAAGGGCAGCCAUCUGGCCUAAUACUGACGCUGAGGUACGAAAGCAUGGGGAGGCAAACAGGAUUAGAUACC
rnacentral:rRNA from 1 species